rnacentral:rRNA from 1 species
UACGGGGGGGGCAAGCGUUGUUCGGAAUUACUGGGCGUAAAGGGCUCGUAGGCGGCCAACUAAGUCGGAUGUGAAAUCCCCAGGCUCAACUUGGGAACUGCGUCGGAUACUGGAUGGCUUGAAUCCGGGAGAGGGAUGCGGAAUUCCAGGUGUAGCGGUGAAAUGCGUAGAUAUCUGGAGGAACACCGGUGGCGAAGGCGGCAUCCUGGACCGGCAUUGACGCUGAGGAGCGAAAGCCAGGGGAGCAAACGGG